rnacentral:rRNA from 1 species
UGAGGAAUAUUGGACAAUGGGCGAAAGCCUGAUCCAGCAAUGCCGCGUGAGUGACGAAGGCCUUAGGGUUGUAAAGCUCUUUCAGCAGGGAAGAUAAUGACGGUAUCUGCAGAAGAAGCUCCGGCUAACUCCGUGCCAGCAGCCGCGGUAAUACGGAGGGAGCUAGCGUUGUUCGGAAUUACUGGGCGUAAAGGGCGCGUAGGCGGCUUGUCAAGUUGGGAGUGAAAUCCUGGGGCUUAACCCCAGAACUGCUCUCAAAACUGGCUCGCUGGAGAUCGGUAGGGGAUGGUGGAAUUCCUAGUGUAGAGGUGAAAUUCGUAGAUAUUAGGAGGAACACCGGUGGCGAAGGCGACCAUCUGGACCGAUUCUGACGCUGAGGCGCGAAAGCGUGGGUAGCAAACAGG